GGGGCCGUCGUACAGUGGUCAGUAUGCCGGUUGUCGGGGGAAAGAUCGGGCAACCCUCCUGCGACAACGCCGAUCCCAGCAGGCCCACCUCGGGUUCUGUUGGGCUGACGGGACCGUCUGCCUCCUACCGCAUCCUUGUCCUCCCCGCACACACCGGAGACGCGGGUUCAAUCCCCGCUGGCCCCA